rnacentral:rRNA from 1 species
AGAGUUUGAUCCUGGCUCAGAUUGAACGCUGGCGGUAUGCUUAACACAUGCAAGUCGAACGGUAACAGCAGAGCUUGCUCUGGCUGACGAGUGGCGGACGGGUGAGGAACGCGUGGGAAUUUACCUUGUAGUGGGGGAUAGCCCGGAGAAAUCCGGAUUAACACCGCAUAAUCUCUACGGAGGAAAAGGGGCCUCUUCUUGAAAGCUCGGUAUAAGAUUGGCCCGCGUUAGAUUAGCUAGUUGGUAAGGUAACGGCUUACCAAGGCGACGAUCUAUAGCUGGUUUGAGAGGAUGAUCAGCCACACUGGGACUGAGACACGGCCCAGACUCCUACGGGAGGCAGCAGUAGGGAGUAUUGGACAAUGGGCGCAAGCCUGAUCCAGCAAUGCCGCGUGUGUGAAGAAGGCCUGCGGGUUGUAAAGCACUUUCAAUUGGGAAGAAAGAUUUAGAGUUAAUACCUCUUAAUAUUGACGUUACCAAUAGAAGAAGCACCGGCUAACUCUGUGCCAGCAGCCGCGGUAAUACAGAGGGUGCGAGCGUUAAUCGGAAUUACUGGGCGUAAAGCGCGCGUAGGUGGUUAGAUAAGUUGGAUGUGAAAGCCCCGGGCUUAACCUGGGAACUGCAUUCAAAACUGUCUAGCUAGAGUACGAUAGAGGGGGGUAGAAUUUCAGGUGUAGCGGUGAAAUGCGUAGAGAUCUGAAGGAAUACCAGUGGCGAAGGCGGCCCCCUGGACAAAGACUGACGCUGAGGAGCGAAAGCGUGGGGAGCAAACGGGAUUAGAUACCCCGGUAGUCCACGCCGUAAACGAUGUCAACUAGCCGUUGGGGGUCUUAGACCUUUAGUGGCGCAGCUAACGCAUUAAGUUGACCGCCUGGGGAGUACGGUCGCAAGACUAAAACUCAAAGUAAUUGACGGGGGCCCGCACAAGCGGUGGAGCAUGUGGUUUAUUUCGAUGCAACGCGUAGAACCUUACCAGCUCUUGACAUCCUGCGAACUUUCUAGAGAUAGCUUAGUGCCUUCGGGAACUCUGAGACAGGUGCUGCAUGGCUGUCGUCAGCUCGUGUUGUGAAAUGUUGGGUUAAGUCCCGUAACGAGCGCAACCCUUAUCCUUAUUUGCCAGCGGGUCAUGCCGGGAACUCUAAGGAGACUGCCGGUGACAAACCGGAGGAAGGUGGGGACGACGUCAAGUCAUCAUGGCCCUUACGAGUUGGGCUACACACGUGCUACAAUGGCCGGUACAGAGGGCUGCAACCCCGCGAGGGUGAGCUAAUCUCACAAAACCGGUCGUAGUCCGGAUCGGAGUCUGCAACUCGACUCCGUGAAGUUGGAAUCGCUAGUAAUCGUGGAUCAGAAUGCCACGGUGAAUACGUUCCCGGGCCUUGUACACACCGCCCGUCACACCAUGGGAGUGGAUUGCACCAGAAGUAGCUAGCCUAACUGCGUGCAGAGGACGGUUACCACGGAGUGAUUCAUGACUGGGGUGAAGUCGUAACAAGGUA